UUAAGUGAAGAAAAAAACACAGUUCUGGUUGGUAGUCCAGACGCAGUGCAAUACUGUCAGUAACCUGCCUCCUAAGGUUGUCCGUUCUUUGUAAAUAUUUC
rnacentral:ncRNA from 1 species